GCCAGGCAUUGUGGCGGGUGCCUGUAAUCCCAGCUACUAGGGAGGCUGAGGCAAGAGAAUCACUUGAGCCCAGGAGUCUGAGGUUGCUGUGAGCUAUAAUGCCACAGUACUCCACCAAGGGCAACAAAGUGAGACUCUGUCUCAA
rnacentral:SRP_RNA from 1 species